rnacentral:rRNA from 1 species
AGAGUUUGAUCCUGGCUCAGAACGAACGCUGGCGGCGUGCUUAACACAUGCAAGUCGAACGAGAAAGGGACUUCGGUCCUGAGUACAGUGGCGCACGGGUGAGUAACACGUGGAUAAUCUACCUGAUGGACAGGGAUAACAUCUCGAAAGAGGUGCUAAUACCAGAUAAGCCCACAGCAUCUACGGAUGCAGCGGGAAAAGGGGGCCUCUUCAUGAAAGCUUCCACCAACAGAUGAGUCCGCGGUCCAUUAGCUAGUUGGUAGGGUAAUGGCCUACCAAGGCCACGAUGGAUAGCUGGUUUGAGAGAAUGAUCAGCCACACUGGAACUGAGACACGGUCCAGACUCCUACGGGAGGCAGCAGUGGGGAAUAUUGCGCAAUGGGGGAAACCCUGACGCAGCAACGCCGCGUGAGUGAUGAAGGUUUUCGGAUCGUAAAGCUCUGUCAAGAGGGAAGAAACCCCGAUAGGCUAAUACCUUGUCGGAUUGACGGUACCUCUAAAGGAAGCACCGGCUAACUCCGUGCCAGCAGCCGCGGUAAUACGGAGGGUGCGAGCGUUGUUCGGAAUUAUUGGGCGUAAAGCGCGUGCAGGCGGUUGUUUAAGUCUGAUGUGAAAGCCCCGGGCUCAACCUGGGAAGUGCAUUGGAAACUGGGCAACUUGAGUACGGGAGAGGGAAGUGGAAUUUCGAGUGUAGGGGUGAAAUCCGUAGAUAUUCGAAGGAACACCAGUGGCGAAGGCGGCUUCCUGGACCGAUACUGACGCUGAGACGCGAAAGCGUGGGGAGCGAACAGGAUUAGAUACCCUGGUAGUCCACGCCGUAAACGCUGGGUACUAGGUGUCGCGGGUAUUGACCCCUGCGGUGCCCAAGCUAACGCAUUAAGUACCCCGCCCUGGGGAGUACCGUCGCAAGACUAAAACUUAAAGGGAAUUGAACGGGGGCCCCCACAAGCGGUGGAACAUGUGGUUUUAAUUCGACCCAACCCCGAAAAACCUUACUUGGGCUUGGACUUCCCC